GUAGGUGAACCUGCGGAAGGAUCAUUAACACGUUCUAACACGUAUCAACCAACCGGUUCAAUGUCAACCUCUCCCUAUGGGGGCAAGCCGUCAUCUCAGACCUUUAGUGGUGGGUGACUUUCUUCGGAAGGUCACAAAGGGAUGGAUGACUCGAGAUGCGAACUCAAGGCUUUCCUUUGUAGGCUUUUUUUUUUCUCCCCUCUUUCUCCAUCACUGGAGGUGGGAUCCCUAUUUUAACCAUUUUCACCCUUUAAUACCAACUCUGUCUAAAUGCUUUCGAACGAAGAAAUUUGUUUGAGAUUGUAUACUUAACAUUGUACAACUCUUAGCAAUGGAUAUCUUGGUUCUC
rnacentral:misc_RNA from 1 species